rnacentral:rRNA from 1 species
UACGUAGGGUGCAAGCGUUACUCGGAAUUACUGGGCGUAAAGCGUGCGCAGGCGGUUUUGUAAGUCUGUCGUGAAAUCCCCGGGCUCAACCUGGGAAUUGCGAUGGAGACUGCAAGGCUAGAAUCUGGCAGAGGGGGGUAGAAUUCCACGUGUAGCAGUGAAAUGCGUAGAUAUGCGGAGGAACACCGAUGGCCAAGGCAAUCCCCUGGGCCUGCACUGACGCUCAUGCACGAAAGCGUGGGGAGCAAACAGG